AUUGAACGCUGGCGGCAUGCUUUACACAUGCAAGUCGAACGGCAGCACGGGGGCAACCCUGGUGGCGAGUGGCGAACGGGUGAGUAAUGCAUCGGAACGUACCCAGUCGUGGGGGAUAACGCAGCGAAAGUUGUGCUAAUACCGCAUACGACCUGAGGGUGAAAGCGGGGACCGGUAAGGCCUCGCGCGAUUGGAGCGGCCGAUGUCUGAUUAGCUAGUUGGUGGGGUAAAGGACCCACCAAGGCGACGAUCAGUAGCGGGUCGUGAGAGGAUGAUCCGCCACACUGGGACGUGAGACACGGCCCA
rnacentral:rRNA from 1 species